CAAGAUAUAGUUUAAAAAAUAUUAAUUUUGGAGAUUAAAGUUAUUAGAGUUAAUUUUCUUGA
rnacentral:tRNA from 1 species